CGAACAACAUUAGGACCGUCGGUCUACCGAGCAAUAUCACCCGCUCAGUUGAAGAUCUUCCCUCCAUCGUUAAAA
rnacentral:pre_miRNA from 1 species